CACGUAGGGAGCAAGCGUUGUCCGGAUUUAUUGGGCGUAAAGAGCUCGUAGGUGGUUCGAUAAGUCGGGUGUGAAAACUCUGGGCUCAACUCAGAGACGCCACUCGAUACUGUCGUGACUGGAGUCUGGUAGGGGAGUGUGGAAUUCCCGGUGUAGCGGUGGAAUGCGCAGAUAUCAGGAGGAACACCGAUAGCGAAGGCAGCUCGCUGGGACGGUACUGACGCUGAGGCGCGAAAGCGUGGGGAGCGAACAGG
rnacentral:rRNA from 1 species